rnacentral:rRNA from 1 species
AGUGAACGCUGGCGGUAGGCCUAACACGUGCAAGUCGAACGGCAGCACAGUAAGAGCUUGCUCUUACGGGUGGCGAGUGGCGGACGGGUGAGGAAUACAUCGGAAUCUACUUUUUCGUGGGGGAUAACGUACGGAAACUUACGCUAAUACCGCAUACGACCUACGGGUGAAAGCAGGGGAUCUUCGGACCUUGCGCGAUUGAAUGAGCCGAUGUCGGAUUAGCUAGUUGGCGGGGUAAAGGCCCACCAAGGCGACGAUCCGUAGCUGGUCUGAGAGGAUGAUCAGCCACACUGGAACUGAGACACGGUCCAGACUCCUACGGGAGGCAGCAGUGGGGAAUAUUGGACAAUGGGCGCAAGCCUGAUCCAGCCAUACCGCGUGGGUGAAGAAGGCCUUCGGGUUGUAAAGCCCUUUUGUUGGGAAAGAAAAGCAGCAGGUUAAUACCCCGCUGUUCUGACGGUACCCAAAGAAUAAGCACCGGCUAACUUCGUG